GCCGGUAUGAUGGAAUUGGUAGACGUGACGGAUUCAAAAAUCCGUUGAUGGCAACAUCGUGUGGGUUCGAGUCCCACUACCGGCACCA
rnacentral:tRNA from 1 species